rnacentral:rRNA from 1 species
GACGAACCGUGCAAACGUUAUUCGGAAUCACUGGGCAUAAAGGGCGCGUAGGCGGCUUUCUAAGUCAGGGGUGAAAUCCGGCAGCUCAACUGUCGCAGUGCCUUUGAUACUGGAGAGCUCGAGGGAGGUAGGGGUCUGUGGAACUUCCGGUGGAGCGGUGAAAUGCGUUGAUAUCGGAAGGAACACCGGUGGCGAAAGCGGCGCGCUGGACCUCUACUGACGCUGAGGCGCGAAAGCCAGGGGAGCAAACGGG